rnacentral:rRNA from 1 species
CAGUAGCCGCGGGAAUACGUAGGUCCCGAGCGUUGUCCGGAUUUAUUGGGCGUAAAGCGAGCGCAGGCGGUUAGAUAAGUCUGAAGUUAAAGGCUGUGGCUUAACCAUAGUACGCUUUGGAAACUGUUUAACUUGAGUGCAAGAGGGGAGAGUGGAAUUCCAUGUGUAGCGGUGAAAUGCGUAGAUAUAUGGAGGAACACCGGUGGCGAAAGCGGCUCUCUGGCUUGUAACUGACGCUGAGGCUCGAAAGCGUGGGGAGCAAACAGGAUUAGAUACCCCCGUAGUCCCGUCUCUUAUACAC